ACAAAAAAAUAUAUAUAUAAUUGAAGGGGACCUGGUUUUGUGACAUAUUAGGUGUUUUUCAUCAACCACCACUACGUAUAUUUGUGAAAAUGCCCAUUUGACUUAAUAUAUAUUUUUCUAUCUAUAUAAACUCCAAUACUACUAAUUUUCUUUUCUUAUCUUAUAUUUGUUAUAGCUUAUUCUUCCUUUUUCUCCUCUCUAAAUUAGGGUUAGGGUUCCAUCAUUAUCAUGCCGGCAAUUAUGAUUAGGAAUAUUGCAAAAUCAAGUUCUUAGUUAUUUGAUGAUCUACAAAUUAUGAAGUUGGAAAGAUCUGUAUUCUCGCCAGAAAGUUCUACAUUGGAGUUGACAAAGGCUUUGGUAUUCAAUAUUCACACUGAAGUUCGAUUAGAUCCGUAUACUCGCCAGAUACAUUGGAGUUGACAAAAGCUUUGGUAUUCAAUAUUCACAUUGAAGUCCGAUUAGAUCUAUAUUCUCGCCAAAAAGUACUACAUUGGAGUUGACAAACUCUAUAUAUUAUAUCCAGGAGGACUCAUUUUUUUUAUCCUUUUUUUUUUUUUGCUUUCUAAAAUAAAAAUAAUUUUUUUUUAAUAUACCUCUUAUUAUUGUCUCAUUUACCUAUUUCGUUGAAAAUAAUGUACUAUAUCUUUUGGGAUAUAAUAAUAGCUAAAUGAAAUAAUCUGUUAAUACAUUUUAA